rnacentral:lncRNA from 1 species
UGAAGGGUGCUAAUGAAGCAUGCAGGUCUCUUAAGUCCAGGAAUGAAUGGAUUGGACAGUAAACUGUUCUCUCUUCAUGGUGCAGACAUUUCGAGGACCGUCAAUAGAAAUUGCAGGGACACAGAGGAAUAUAUUUGACUGGUGAGUCUGUUGGACCCAAGCCUUCUUAAGCUGAAAACACUUAUUUCUAUGAGUACCUAUUGUCUAGAUAUGAUACCAAUGGUAAGAGUCUAUUUAUCAGAGAAUAUGCAAGUAUACCCUGAAACUGAUUGUGUUCUAGUUAUAAUGACUAAUGAGUCGACCAUGAAUAGAAAUUAAAGUUUUCAUGGAAGAAACGAUGCUCGGGGGUAGCUUCUUGCUUAUCAGAUGAGCUGGCUACACAGCAACUCCAUAUACUUUCUGAACAAUUACCUGUUGCUAGAUAUGCUCGACUUCAUUGGGGCAAAUUUAUGCUGGUGUUAUUGUAUGCAUAUCUGAACACCUAGGUUGAUUUAGUGUUUAGCAUGCUGAACACAAAUAAACAACCUAGCUUGGUGCAUAAUUUUAAUGAUAAAAAAAAGUAGUACAGUACAAAACAAAAUAUAAUGCUGAAAGUGAUUCUGACUAUCUAUUGGAUUGCAACUAUAUAAUUCAUGGAAAUAAAAAUAAUUCUGUUAAUUGAAAUCAAAACAAGAGUCCUAGUGAAAUUCAGACACGAGAGUUCAUAAUGUGUUUCUGCCAAGGUAUACUGACAUGCUGCAGUGGAUUCAGUUAUCUAAAUGACAGUAACUGCAGAGAAUUUUUCCAACUAACUUAGGAUGUCUGAGGCAAUUUUAUUGAGUGUCAUUACUCACUUCCAUGUUUCUGGAAUAUAGAUAUACUUCCACCUCUACUAGGUGUAUGUACCUCCACCUCUACUAUACCACUUCCAUGUUUCUGGAAUUUCCAACAUACUACUCUUUUGUACUCCUAGGUGUAUGUACUUCCACCUCUACUAUACCACUUACACGACUUUGUUAUUCUUCUUUAUCAAUUUGGAUAUACUUCACUGAUUAUUAUAACAUACUCCAAAGUGAACUGCAUCAAAAAGUAUAAUUUUAUGUAGUAUUACUCUAUUAUAUACCCUUUUAUUCUUCUUUUAUGUGUGCAAAAGGGUAUAUUGGUAAAAAGGGGAAUGGUAGUGAGUUUUUUUUUCACGCAGCUCGUUUUGUAUUAUACUCCUGGGUGUAUGUACUCCCACCUCUAUUAUACCUUUUGGGUGCAUGUAAUAUACUUCUCUAUCAUUUUUAAUAUACUCUAUUACCAAUCACAAGAUAGUACAAAAUGAGUUGCGCGAAUAUACUUCCAUGUAUUUGUAGCAUACUAAAAUUAUCCAAAAUUUGGUUAAUUCAUUGUUAUGUAGCUUAGCCAUAACAUGGCUGGCAAAAAUAGCAGUCCUUGCUUUGAUUUUGUGGUUUAGUUUGAACUUUGAAGAAUCUUGAAUGCCAGUACAUCAAUUCGAUUAACUGUGCAAGUUGAUUGUGAUUGUUGAGCCCAUCAGGCCAUCUGUCUACCCCUCUUGGUUUGUGUCGAAUAAUAUCUAGAAUGAAGACAAUAUAGUUAUCUCAUGAUGUGCAUGAAGACCAACUAACACCACAUGAAAUGUUUUCACGGGUCAAUUUCUUAGCUGGACCUUUCUCAGAUAUCAAUGUCUGACUUCCCAUACGGCCAUACUGUAGUUGUUGACUGAGACUUAAAGUUUACUUGAUAGUUGAUACCCCUCCGUUCAAAAAUCAGGAUUCAACUUCGAUUAAUGUCUAACUAUACAUUGAUUAGUAUAAAAUUAAUACCGAUGAAAAGUUCUUUAAAUACGAAUCAAGUGAUAUCAAUUGUGUAUCAUACAAUACGCGCAAUAUACCCUUCCAAGUUAAAUAGGAAACGUGUGCGCCAUAUAUUUUAGAACGAAGGGAGUAUGAAAGCCCAGUUAAAAUACAGAUCAUAGGAAAGGAGAGGAGGAACAGACAUAAGAUAAGCUGGCAAAAGUGAAUAGUCUCGCCAGGCAAAGCAUUUCCUCGGUUAGAGGGGAGAUUGGCCUGAAAACUGGCGACAACACGUAGGCCUGAAAAUUCAUGAUAAGACUUGAAUUAUUGGAGGGGUACUUUGCUUGUGCUUGCUCCACAUGCAUAGAUGCAUGAAUCCAUCAGAUGCCUGUCCACACCAGUCUUCAACGCUACGUCAUAUCAAGAAUAGAAUAGGAUGAAAAAGCAAUCCUGUUCCUCCAUUAAGUGAUACAAUAAUGCUAGAUACCACAGCUAGCUUAUCCUCUUGCAGAGGUUACUGUAGAAUGAUGUUAUUGGGCAAUGAGAAACAUAUAAUUCAAAAUGGGAGGGCAAAUGAACCUGUAGCCUCUCAAGCGGUUGUACAAAUUGAGGGUUUGCUCAUGAUGUGCAAACAUUGUAUACUUAAAGACCGUCUAUUCAUGUGCGGCAUUUCAGAUAAAAUUUAGUCCCAUCUUUUCGUUCGUGCAUUAUAUUUAUACCUGGCUAGAUGUUGGCUCCUUAACAUAUUAUCGUAUUUCUUAAGUAUACUAUAAUAAGACAUUGACACUAAUAAUUUAAUGAGUAUUUCCUGAUAGACUAACAAACCAAGCUGACAGUUGAAGUCAAAACGUUGAUGCAAACGUAUAGCCAAGCGCAGGUAAAAUAUUCUCAUGAUUGAGCUUUUUGCUUGUCCUGCGGUAGCAUGUGUCCUUAUAACCGAACAACAUAUUUUUUUAAAGAAAUGACAUCCCGUCAAACAGCGUACUGAUUAUAUCUUUUUGUUAAACUAGUAUACAGCAGUAAUCAUUAGGCGAACAGCGAUUGACUAUGACAUCUUUGUGAUAAUAUGCUUAGCUAUUUGUACAUCAAGUAGAUUGCUUCAGAUCAGUUCCUUACAGUUCCAAUGAUACUCAACUAAAGUUUUGCUGCUGAUACAAUUUUCAGUGAAGUGAUCAUUUCAGUCCAAGAUCAUAUAUUUGCAGAAUGAAGUGCUUCAGUGCUCUUACCCUGG